rnacentral:rRNA from 1 species
CAGCCGCCACGGUAAUACGGAGGGGGCUAGCGUUGUUCGGAAUUACUGGGCGUAAAGCGUACGUAGGCGGCUUUGUAAGUUAGAGGUGAAAGCCUGGUGCUCAACACCAGAACUGCCUUUAAGACUGCAUCGCUUGAACGUCGGAGAGGUGAGUGGAAUUCCGAGUGUAGAGGUGAAAUUCGUAGAUAUUCGGAAGAACACCAGUGGCGAAGGCGGCUCACUAGACGACUGUUGACGCUGAGGUACGAAAGCGUGGGGAGCAAACAGGAUUAGAUACCCCUGUAGUCCCUGUCUCUUAUAC